rnacentral:rRNA from 1 species
ACUGCCAGCAGCCGCGGUAAUACGUAGGGUCCGAGCGUUGUCCGGAAUUACUGUUCCACCAAGGAGGCGCAGGCGGGCUUUUGCGUCGGGGGUUAAAGACCAAAGCUUAACUUUGGGAAUGCCUCCGAAACGGGAAGUCUUGAAUAUGGGAGAGGUAGGUAGAAUUCCUGGUGUAGCGGUGAAAUGCGUAGAUAUCAGGAGGAAUACCAGUGGCGAAGGCGGCCUACUGGCUCAUUAUUGACGCUCAGGCACGAAAGCGUGGGGAGCAAACAGGAUUAGAUACUCUGGUAGUCCACUUCCUAAACGAUGUCGACUAGGUGUUCGGUGAGGAGACUCAUUGAGUACCGCAGCUAACGCGUGAAGUCGACCGCCUGGGGAGUACGGUCGCAAGAUUAAAACUCAAGGGAAUUGACGGGGACCCGCACAAGCGGUGGAUGAUGUGGAUUAAUUCGAUGCAACGCGAAAAAACCUUACCUACCCUUGACAUGUACGGAACCCUGCUGAGAGGUGGGGGUGCUCGAAAGAGAGCCGUAACACAGGUGCUGCAUGGCUGUCGUCAGCUCGUGUCGUGAGAUGUUGGGUUAAGUCCCGCAACGAGCGCAACCCUUGUCAUUAGUUGCUACGCAAGAGCACUCUAAUGAGACUGCCGGUGACCAAAACCGGAGGAAGGUGGGAUGACGCCAAGUCCUCAUGGCCCUUAUGGGUAGGGCU